rnacentral:rRNA from 1 species
UACGUAGGGAGCGAGCGUUGUCCGAAGUUACUGGGCGUAAAGCGCGCGUAGGCGGGCUGUUAAGUGAGAGGUGAAAGGCUGGGGCUCAACUCCAUGCAGUGCCUCUCAUACUGGCGGUCUUGAGUGCGGCAGGGAGAAGUGGAAUGGCUGGUGUAGCGGUGAAAUGCGUAGAUAUCAGUCGGAACACCGGUGGCGAAGGCGGCUUCUUGGGCCUGGACUGACGCUGAGGUGCAAAAGCGUGGGGAGCAAACAGG